GAUGAACGCUGGCGGCGUGCUUAACACAUGCAAGUCGAACGGAAAGGCUCCUGCUUGCAGGGGUACUCGAGUGGCGAACGGGUGAGUAACACGUGGGUGAUCUGCCCUGCACUUCGGGAUAAGCCUGGGAAACUGGGUCUAAUACCGGAUAGGACGAUGGAUUGGUUGCUAUUGUGGAAAGUUUUUCGGUGUGGGGUGAGCUCGCGGCCUAUCAGCUGGUUGGUGGGGUAAUGGCCUACCAAGGCGGGGGCGGCGAGCCGGCCUGGGAGGGUGUAAGGCCACAUGGGGACGAGGAAACGGCCCAGACGCCUACGGGAGGCAGCAGGGGAAAAUAAUUCACAAGGGGCGCAAGCCUGAGGCAGCGACGCCGCGUGGGGGAGGACGGCCUUCGGGUUGAAAACUCCUUUCGCUAGGAACGAAGCACAAGGGACGGAACCUGGAGAAGAAGCACCGGCGAAUUACGG
rnacentral:rRNA from 1 species